UACGAAGGGGGGCUAGCGUUGCUCGGAAUUACUGGGCGUAAAGGGCGCGUAGGCGGAUAUUUAAGUUGGGGGUGAAAUCCCGGGGCUCAACCUCGGAACUGCCUUCAAAACUGGAUAUCUUGAGUUCGGGAGAGGUGAGUGGAACUCCGAGUGUAGAGGUGAAAUUCGUAGAUAUUCGGAAGAACACCAGUGGCGAAGGCGACUCACUGGCCCGAUACUGACGCUGAGGCGCGAAAGCGUGGGGAGCAAACAGG
rnacentral:rRNA from 1 species